GGGAGAGACCAAGCGAGAGAGAGAGAGAGAGACACAGCGAUAGAGAGAGAGAUAGAGAGAGAGAGAGAGAGAGAGAGAGAGAGAGAGAGGUCCAGGAGCUCUGUGCUGCAGCCGCAGCAGAAGCAGCAGCAGCAGCACAGAGCCGUACAGGAGAGAGCGUGUUCUGUAGACGAGGGGGAGAGAGAGAGAGAGAGAGAGAGAGAGGGAGAGAGGGAGAGAGGGGCGUUACGCAAGCAGAGACACCGUGCCGAGAGCCCCUCUUUGAUCCUCACAUCGGACAGAUGCCACGCCGGCUCCGCCAGAACCACCGGACUCUCUCUCCCUGCGUCUCCGCCGGAGAUCUGCUCCUCUGUGGCUCACCGCUCGUCUCUCUCUGCUGACGCCCCUCCCUCUGCCUCCCGGUGUAUGACGGCAGACCGGCACCACAGCCCGGGAGCGGCGUGUCUCUUCAGGGGGAAGGAUGAGUCCGGAUGAAGGGGUCGCCGCGCUUCUAGAAGGUUGAGAGACCCUCACCCCGGAGGGGGGGUCGUCCGACCGGGUGGGCACCGGUGGGCUGUGUCCGAGUCCCGCAGUGCUGCUGAGUUGCAGGUUUUGAGGGUAAAGAGUGGGCUGAGCUUGAAGCAGACGUUAUGGUGUGAACAUUAUCAUGCAUGGCAGAUCAUCUCCCAGGACCUCCGACGAGCGGCGCGGUGAACCAGAAGCCCCGAAGCCUCCAUGAUGUCCCGGAGUCGAUCGAGCGGGGGCGGCUCCUCCAGCCUCCCCCAGUCCUCCAGCCUCCCCCUCCCCACCAGCUCCGUCUCCCCCAAGAUAGACGCCGUCCGGCAGCAGCAGCAGCAGCAGUACACCCCCCUGCC
ensembl:lncRNA